rnacentral:rRNA from 1 species
GGGUUGUGAGGUUAAGCGACUAAGCGUACACGGUGGAUGCCCUGGCAGUCAGAGGCGAUGAAGGGCGUGCUAAUCUGCGAUAAGCGCCGGUAAGGUGAUAUGAACCGUUAUAACCGGCGAUACCCGAAUGGGGAAACCCAGUGUGAUUCGUCACACUAUCAUUAACUGAAUCCAUAGGUUAAUGAGGCGAACCGGGGGAACUGAAACAUCUAAGUACCCCGAGGAAAAGAAAUCAACCGAGAUUCCCCCAGUAGCGGCGAGCGAACGGGGAGGAGCCCAGAGCCUGAAUCAGCAUGUGUGUUAGUGGAAGCGUCUGGAAAGGUGCGCGAUACAGGGUGACAGCCCCGUACACAAAAGCGCAUGUGCUGUGAGCUCGAUGAGUAGGGCGGGACACGUGGUAUCCUGUCUGAAUAUGGGGGGACCAUCCUCCAAGGCUAAAUACUCCUGACUGACCGAUAGUGAACCAGUACCGUGAGGGAAAGGCGAAAAGAACCCCGGCGAGGGGAGUGAAAAAGAACCUGAAACCGUGUACGUACAAGCAGUGGGAGCACAGGUUUACCUGUGUGACUGCGUACCUUUUGUAUAAUGGGUCAGCGACUUAUAUUCUGUAGCAAGGUUAACCGUAUAGGGGAGCCGGAGGGAAACCGAGUCUUAAUUGGGCGUUAAGUUGCAGGGUAUAGACCCGAAACCCGGUGAUCUAGCCAUGGGCAGGUUGAAGGUUGGGUAACACUAACUGGAGGACCGAACCGACUAAUGUUGAAAAAUUAGCGGAUGAUCUGUGGCUGGGGGUGAAAGGCCAAUCAAACCGGGAGAUAGCUGGUUCUCCCCGAAAGCUAUUUAGGUAGCGCCUCGUGAAUUCAUCUCCGGGGUAGAGCACUGUUUCUGCUAGGGGCCCUCCCCGCUUACCAACCCGAUGCAAACUGCGAAUACCGGAGAAUGUUAUCACGGGAGACACACGGCGGGUGCUAACGUCCGUCGUGAAGAGGGAAACAACCCAGACCGCCAGCUAAGGUCCCAAAGUCAUGGUUAAGUGGGAAACGAUGUGGGAAGGCCCAGACAGCCAGGAUGUUGGCUUAGAAGCAGCCAUCAUUUAAAGAAAGCGUAAUAGCUCACUGGUCGAGUCGGCCUGCGCGGAAGAUGUAACGGGGCUAAACCAUGCACCGAAGCUGCGGCAGCGAACGUAUCACCCAAGACAACUUUACGGAGUUGACGAUUGACGGAGCGAAGCGACGUCAAAGCGUUCAUUAAAGUCGAGUUGGCUUAGGGAUACGUUCGUUGGGUAGGGGAGCGUUCUGUAAGCCUGUGAAGGUGUGUCGUGAGGCAUGCUGGAGGUAUCAGAAGUGCGAAUGCUGACAUAAGUAACGAUAAAGCGGGUGAAAAGCCCGCUCGCCGGAAGACCAAGGGUUCCUGUCCAACGUUAAUCGGGGCAGGGUGAGUCGACCCCUAAGGCGAGGCCGAAAGGCGUAGUCGAUGGGAAACGGGUUAAUAUUCCCGUACUUGGUGUUACUGCGAAGGGGGGACGGAGAAGGCUAUGUUGGCCGGGCGACGGUUGUCCCGGUUUAAGCGUGUAGGUGUGUGUUCCAGGUAAAUCCGGUUCACUUUAACACUGAGGCGUGACGACGAGGCACUACGGUGCUGAAGCAACAAAUGCCCUGCUUCCAGGAAAAGCCUCUAAGCAUCAGGUAACAUCAAAUCGUACCCCAAACCGACACAGGUGGUCAGGUAGAGAAUACCAAGGCGCUUGAGAGAACUCGGGUGAAGGAACUAGGCAAAAUGGUGCCGUAACUUCGGGAGAAGGCACGCUGACACGUAGGUGAAGUGAUUUACUCAUGGAGCUGAAGUCAGUCGAAGAUACCAGCUGGCUGCAACUGUUUAUUAAAAACACAGCACUGUGCAAACACGAAAGUGGACGUAUACGGUGUGACGCCUGCCCGGUGCCGGAAGGUUAAUUGAUGGGGUCAGCGCAAGCGAAGCUCCUGAUCGAAGCCCCGGUAAACGGCGGCCGUAACUAUAACGGUCCUAAGGUAGCGAAAUUCCUUGUCGGGUAAGUUCCGACCUGCACGAAUGGCGUAAUGAUGGCCAGGCUGUCUCCACCCGAGACUCAGUGAAAUUGAACUCGCUGUGAAGAUGCAGUGUACCCGCGGCAAGACGGAAAGACCCCGUGAACCUUUACUAUAGCUUGACACUGAACAUUGAGCCUUGAUGUGUAGGAUAGGUGGGAGGCUUUGAAGUGUGGACGCCAGUCUGCAUGGAGCCGACCUUGAAAUACCACCCUUUAAUGUUUGAUGUUCUAACGUGGACCCGUAAUCCGGGUUGCGGACAGUGUCUGGUGGGUAGUUUGACUGGGGCGGUCUCCUCCUAAAGAGUAACGGAGGAGCACGAAGGUUGGCUAAUCAUGGUCGGACAUCAGGAGGUUAGUGCAAUGGCAUAAGCCAGCUUGACUGCGAGCGUGACGGCGCGAGCAGGUGCGAAAGCAGGUCAUAGUGAUCCGGUGGUUCUGAAUGGAAGGGCCAUCGCUCAACGGAUAAAAGGUACUCCGGGGAUAACAGGCUGAUACCGCCCAAGAGUUCAUAUCGACGGCGGUGUUUGGCACCUCGAUGUCGGCUCAUCACAUCCUGGGGCUGAAGUAGGUCCCAAGGGUAUGGCUGUUCGCCAUUUAAAGUGGUACGCGAGCUGGGUUUAGAACGUCGUGAGACAGUUCGGUCCCUAUCUGCCGUGGGCGCUGGAGAACUGAGGGGGGCUGCUCCUAGUACGAGAGGACCGGAGUGGACGCAUCACUGGUGUUCGGGUUGUCAUGCCAAUGGCACUGCCCGGUAGCUAAAUGCGGAAGAGAUAAGUGCUGAAAGCAUCUAAGCACGAAACUUGCCCCGAGAUGAGUUCUCCCUGAGACUUAGAGUCUCCUGAAGGAACGUUGAAGACGACGACGUUGAUAGGCCGGGUGUGUAAGCGCAGCGAUGCGUUGAGCUAACCGGUACUAAUGAACCGUGAGGCUUAACCUUACAACGCCGAAG